GCAGUUAUAGCUCAGUGGAGGAGCACAUGUUUAACAUACACAAGGUCCUGGGUUCAAUCCCCAGUACCGCCU
rnacentral:tRNA from 1 species